AUUGAACGCUGGCGGCAGGCCUAACACAUGCAGGUCGAGCGGAUGAAGGGAGCUUGCUCCUGGAUUCAGCGGCGGACGGGUGAGUAAUGCCUAGGAAUCUGCCUGGUAGUGGGGGAUAACGUCCGGAAACGGGCGCUAAUACCGCAUACGUCCUGAGGGAGAAAGUGGGGGAUCUUCGGACCUCACGCUAUCAGAUGAGCCUAGGUCGGAUUAGCUAGUUGGUGGGGUAAAGGCCUACCAAGGCGACGAUCCGUAACUGGUCUGAGAGGAGGAUCAGUCACACUAGAACUGAGACACGGUCCAGACUCCUACGGGAGGCAGCAGUGGGGAAUAUUGGACAGUGGGCGAAAACCUGAUCCAGCCAUGCCGCGUGUGUGAAGAAGGUCUUCGGAUUGUAAAGCACUUUAAGUUGUGAGGAAGGGCAGUAAGUUAAUACCUUGCUGUUUUGACGUUACCAACAGAAUAAGCACCGGCUAACUUCGUG
rnacentral:rRNA from 1 species